CAGUUGCAGUGUUUAUUGAUCUGUGUGAGCUGCUUGCAUGUCUGCUUAUCUCGGGGGCGAUUCUGUGCUGUUCUCUACCUCUUGUUCAGUCAGCAGUGAAAUGUCUGCUGAUUGCUGUUGUCUGGACAGGUCCUGUGGCGAGAGGAGGGAGAGUUGUCCGCCCAGGGGCGACGGGCACUGGCGAGGUCCCCCGCCCGGAGACCGGGUACCUGUUUGUAUAGUAAUGGGCGGGAACGACCCUGCCGCCGGCUGCAGCCCAGGCUGUGUUAGGAAUUUCGCGUAGGUUUCCGACCAAGCGGCUCCUUUUGGCUCCUCCGUUAUUUUUAUGUGUUUUUUAUUUUGGUAUCAUUAAUAUACACUUACAUGAGCAGCACUGUGGUUACUAGAUUGUCCCCGUUAUCAAGUACCCACCACAUACCCCAUUACAGUCACUGUCCUGCGUUAUUUUUAAAACGAGUUUUUAGGACUAGGGCAAUAAAGGUGCCUAUGUUGAUGGGAUUGCUGUACCUUCCAGUAAAUUGAGGAAAUGUGUGUUUGAGUGCCAACUCUCUACCGCUACCCAGGCUCCCUGGCUCCCUUUCGCCCUUGCCUCCUGGAUGUGAAACUCGAGUUUCUGUACCCGUUCCUGGCAGUUUUAGGUUUUGUGUCGGAUUUCCUGUCUAGAAGCAGAUACCAAGAUUUUAACUGGUUCAUGAUGUUUCCUUCCAAUUGUAAACACUUACAAUAUAUUGGGUUGACACUGAAAUCACUGCUUUCAUGAAUGAUUUUUAGUUACUCGAGUAAAUAUUCGCUUUUUAAAUUGUUUAUUUUUUAUUUUGGUAUCAUUAGUGUACACUUACAUGAGCAACACUGUGGUUACUAGAUUUCCCCGUUACCAAGUCCGCACGACAUACCCCAUUACAGUCACUGUCUAUCAGCAUAGUAAGAUGCUAUAGAAUCACUACUUGCCUUCUCUGUGCUGUACUGCCUUCCCCGUGCCCAUCGCCCCAGCCCCCUGCACUAUGUGUACUAUUCGUAAUGCCCCCUUUUCCCCUUAUCCCCCGCUUCCAACCCAUCCUCCCCAGGCCCUUACCUUUGGUAACUGUUGGUAGCCUUCUUGGGUUCUGAUUCAGUUUUUUCUUUGUUCUUAUACUCGACAUAUGAGUGAAAUCACUUGAUACUUGCCUUUCUCCGCCUGGCUUAUUUCACUGAGCAUAAUACCCUCUAGCUCCAUCCGUGUUGUUGUGAAUGGUAGGAUUUGUUUUCUCCUUAUGGCUGACUAAUAUUACAUUGUAUAUAUGUACCACAUCUUCUUUAUCCCUUCAUCUAGUGAUGGACACUGAGGUUGCUUCCAUAUCUUGGCUAUUGUAAAUAAUGCUGCGAUAAACAUAGGGGUGCAUAUGUCUUUUUUGGGUCUGUGAUUCUGUUUUGUUAGGAUAAGUUUCUAAGAGUGGAACUCCUGGAUCAAAUGCUAUCUCUAUUUUGAGUUUUUAGUUGAGCGGACGUGGUCCUGAACAUUUCAACACAUGGACCAGCGAUGACUGGCCCGUCUGGCACCCUGGGGAGAAGGCUUGAAAGCUGGCCUCCUGCGUGUCCCUGGAGUAAUAGCAGAGUUGGCCUCCAGAGAUCGCGGUAGUGUACCCAAUACGUCCCGGAGAGGUCUGGUAGCCAUUAACAGAGGAGCGACUGGCUUCUGUGUAUCACGCCUUGCUGGCUAUGGAGCCCAUCACCGGAACAGCCCCGACCAAGGGGUCAUACCUGCAUGUGUCUUCGGCCUGUGGCUGGGAGCGGAGUCAGCGUCUGGAAGGGUGACUUCCUAAGUCGACACAACGAGGUGCUCUGUCUACACCCGAGGAUCCAGACUUCCCUUCUUUCGGGCCGGUGCAACCAGGCCUCCGGGGUCCCGGGAGCGCUCACACAGCAAGCAGGCUGCGGUCUCGCCUCCACACCGGGAGCUCUGGGUCAAACGCUUGGAUCUGGAAGGCAGGUGGCUCUGGCCUCAGGUGGCCCCUCCUUCCUCGCCCAGCCUCCAGAUCCCACGAUC